GACACUGUGGUACAAUGGUUAGGGUUUUAGAUUGGGACUUGGGAGAUCGAAGUUCUAGUCCUCGCUGUGCCA